rnacentral:lncRNA from 1 species
GGGCAGGCAAACAACAGCAUUACAGUAAGAUAACUGUGGUGGUCUAAUGGAUAAGAGUUUGUGCUCUUACCACAGGGCGCAGGUUCAUUUCUCCGUCAAGGAACCACACUACCUGUCUGUCGGUUGUUAUACUGUGGCAGCUGUGAGAUGCUGUGACACUGAAAGCUAUGCCACUGGUAUUUCUAAUACCAGCAGGCUCACUCAUGGCAGACAGGUUUCAGCAAGGCUUCCAGACUAACACAGACUAGGAAGAAGGACCUGGCCACCCACUUCUGAAGAAAUUGGCCAUGAAAACCCUAUGAAUAGCAGCGGAGCAUUGUCUGAUAGCACUGGGCGGUGAGAGGAUGGCGCAAAAAGUCUGGGCAGGGUCCUCUCUGCUGUCCACAGGGUCACUGGGAGUUGGAUCGACUCGUUUUCACAAAGAUAACUGGACAAAAGAGAGCAGGGAAACAAAAGACAGAAGGAAACACAGAGACUGAACACUAUGCUACGCCCGGAGUUGCGCUUCCUCGCAGAGUCGCGACGCCUCAGUCUCCCUCUGCCAGAUAACUACUGUUCUCGCCAGUUUUACCAAUAAAAUAAUUGAGGUUUUGAGAGUUUAGAUAAUUUCCUCCACGUCAGGCAGCUGGGAAGGUGAAGCGUUUGCCCACCUCAGGGUCUUGUACUAUGUCUAUCGAGUGUCUAUCUUCCUUCUCAACUGUAUCAUCACGACCACCCCCACACACGUCUGCUUAACAUUAUUCACCAUUAUUAAGCAGGGCUACCAUGUUCAGCUUCAUAGACUGUGCUCUGCAAAAGACCCCAGAGCACCAUUCACAUAGAUUUCAAUGUAAAAGAUGCUCCCUAUGGUUGUACAGUGCCCAACCUGCACAAACACACAUGGCAAACCUCUCUUAAGGUUUUGGCUUAAGCAUUACUUCCUCGGGGGGGCUGGAUAGAUCUCCACUCACGCUGCACCUGUAUUCUCCUUCAAAGCAUCUAUAACAAGUACACUUAAGUAGUUAUUUUCAUAAUUAAUGUUUGAUAUCUGACCUCCCU